AGGCAGCCCCUUUGUCAAUUUACAAUGGCCUUGGAGGUGUUGCGUUGCUCGGAGACUAAAUCUUCUGAUCUUCAGAUUAGCCGAGGGGGAUGCUUUUGUUUCCCUCCCUGAAGCUGGUCUAGUAGUCGUAUGAACAUC